rnacentral:rRNA from 1 species
CCAAUAGCGUAUAUUAAAGUUGUUGCAGUUAAAAAGCUCGUAGUUGAAUUUCGGGAUCAAUUUAUCGGUCGUGCCAAUGGUAUGAACUGGUACAAUUGGUUUCUCCCUUCUGACGAAGCAUGAUGUCAUUAAUUUGGUGUCGUGGGGAAUCAGGACUGUUACUUUGAAAAAAUUAGAGUGUUUAAAGCAAGCAUUAGCUUGAAUACAUUA